GUGCUCGCUGGGACAGCAGGUACACUGAAAUUGUAACAGGACAGACAUGAUUCACACAGCGCCUGCGCAAGGAUGACAUGCAAAUACAAAGUCUGAUUGCUUUU
ensembl:snRNA U6 U6 spliceosomal RNA